rnacentral:rRNA from 1 species
UACGUAGGGGGCUAGCGUUGUCCGGAAUCAUUGGGCGUAAAGCGCGUGUAGGCGGCCCGGUAAGUCCGCUGUGAAAGCCGGGGGCUCAACCCUCGAAAGCCGGUGGAUACUGUCGGGCUUGAGUACGGAAGAGGCGAGUGGAAUUCCUGGUGUAGCGGUGAAAUGCGCAGAUAUCAGGAGGAACACCAGUGGCGAAGGCGGCUC